ACUCAAAGGAAUUGACGGGGGCUCACACAAGCGGUGGAGCAUGUGGAUCAAUUCGAAGCAACGCGCAGAACCUCACCUAGGUUUGACAUGCUUGGAUGGUCGCCUCGAAAGAGGAGUGAUCUGCCCGCAAGGGUGAAACAAGCACAGGUGCUGCAUGGCUGUCGUCAGCUCGUGCUGUGAAGUGUCGGGUUAAGUCCCUUAACGAGCGAAACCCUUAUCGUUAGUUGCCAGCGGGUCAUGCCGGGAACUCUAGCGAGACUGCCGGCGUUAAGCCGGAGGAAGGUGGGGAUGACGUCAAGUCAUCAUGGCCUUUAUGCCUAGGGCGUCACACGUGCUACAAUGGGGUGUACAGAGCGAAGCAAGACCGCAAGGUGGAGCAAAUCGCAGAAAACAUCCCUCAGUUCGGAUUGGGGUCUGCAACUCGACCCCAUGAAGCUGGAAUCGCUAGUAAUCGCGUAUCAGCCAUGACGCGGUGAAUGUGUUCCUGAGCCUUGUACACACCGCCCGU
rnacentral:rRNA from 1 species